UGGGGAAUUUUGGACAAUGGGCGCAAGCCUGAUCCAGCCAUGCCGCGUGAGUGAAGAAGGCCUUCGGGUUGUAAAGCUCUUUUGUCAGGGAGCAAAACUUGGUGGUUAAGAGCUGCCAAGGCUGAGAGUACCUGAAGAAUAAGCACCGGCUAACUACGUGCCAGCAGCCGCGGUAAUACGUAGGGUGCGAGCGUUAAUCGGAAUUACUGGGCGUAAAGCGUGCGCAGGUGGUUUUGUAAGCCAGAUGUGAAAUCCCCGGGCUCAACCUGGGAACUGCAUUUGGGACUGCAAAUCUAGAGUGUGGCAGAGGGGGGUGGAAUUCCGCGUGUAGCAGUGAAAUGCGUAGAGAUGCGGAGGAACACCGAUGGCGAAGGCAACCCCCUGGGCUAACACUGACACU
rnacentral:rRNA from 1 species